GUGUCAGUACUGGGGACUGAAGCUCUCUCACCACAGAGCAGGCACAUCACUGGCAGUGCUAGCUGCCCUACAUUAUUCUUCAAGCUAGAACUAGGGGCAACCUCUCUAGGGUGAGAGAGAUAGUUCAGUCUCCAUACUUCAUGGCCCCUCUGCUGAG
rnacentral:sRNA from 1 species